CACACGACAGGUUGGGAAUUCAGGGAGGGUCCAAGUCCCUGACUGCUGGUGAGAAGGCAUUUCGUGAUUGAAGUUUUCUUGAAUUGAAAGGAUCAUUUUGAAGAGCCAGGAACGAGUAGUAUGCAUACUAAUUCCCUAUAAAAUGUGCGUCCUAAUUGACCAAUGCUCUACCCUACCCACAUAUUUGUAAGAAAGAAACUGUGAUAUAAACUCAUCAUGGAGAAGUACGAAGGGGGUUGGGGCGAGGUUGUCAGAUGUCCACCAGCAGGUGGACAGUGCACUGGACCGUGUGCUUGCCCAGUGACCCCCAGCUGAACUGGGUGUGCCCUGAAAUGCUGUGUGUGGGAGCAUUGUGAGAGUAUACAGCAUCCUCUCCUUUUGUGGUCUGGGCUGUUGCCAUUUGUUGUUCAGAGGGCUCGGUGAUAGAUGACUGCACCUGAGCUUGACCUGGAAUGCCACCUGCCAGGACCUGCCCUGUCUCCUGGCAGGCCAGGAUCGUGUUGACGGUGGGAAGAUCCCAGAGCAAUUUGUGGGAUUCUUGGUCACCUUGAAAAAAGUGUUAGGAGCAUAGAACUUUGGGUCAGAGACCUCCUCAAUGGCCCUGCGUUGCCACCCUCCAGCCACAGGAUCUCACACACUUUCUUGUCUUCCCUCAGCCUCAGGCUUCAGAGUCUUUGAAAAAGUGUGGCCAGUGAACCAGCCGGUCUUAAAGAGCCUUCCAAGUCUGCAAGGCCCUGGAUCAGGUCCCACUGCCUGGUUUGCUGAAGGGUUAUUCCAUUAGUGAUUCGGGAACCUGGUAGGGAGAGGGGGAGGGCUUAAAAUAAUUUCUCAGGGGCUUCUUUGCACACUUCUCUUCAUCUUCUGAUAAGCAUAGCUGUUGUUUUCAUGGCUUGCCAGUGGGUUCUGUGGGGCUAUUACUCGAAACAGAAUAGGCUCUGUACCCGACCACAAGAAAACAGCAAAGGGAGCCCCAGAGGCCAGCCCGAGCAUUUGCUGGGCUCAAAUUGCCAACAUACUUUUUGCUUUGAGAACACAGCUUUAAGGCACAUGGACUUAAAACCAAACACAGGCACAAGGCACUCUUAUUCCACAGGAGGAAAACAUAGUGUGGUGGCCAAGAAGUUUCUGGGCGGUGGCAAAGUCUCGUUUUUGGAGCGGCACACCACGACCCUAAAAAUCAACCCCUAAGUCUGUAGUGACAGCAGCAAGACCUAGACAACCCUGCGCAGUCCCAGAUCCCCCAAGCCCGGUGGGGCAAUUAACAAAAGAUUCCUGAAACCAGAUGGAGUCUCCACAAUGUUCGAGAACAUUUGGGUUGCUGCAAGUGUUGUCUGGUACUGUGGAAUUGGUGUCUGUGUGUUGUAUCUGCAUCUUUUCCCCCAGAGCAAGCUAAGCUGUGCGUUCUCUGGGGAAGGAAAUGUGAUUUCAUCCCAUUUCCCAGAGAAGGUUUGCCUGAGAUGCUUCCAUCCUGAGUGGAAAAGACAAGGAUGCAUUGUUCGGUGGACAAUGCCAGAAGUAAGGAAUAUGCAAAACGGACCUGAUCUCUCCAUUCCAAGUCCGUAGGAGACCAUUGUUUCCAUAAAGCUCCUAUUGAGCUAAUGACUUGACUAUAAAGUUCUUUGUCCAAAUGAAUCCCAAAAUGUGAGUACCUCUUUGUGGAGGACUAGAUACUGCUUUUUUUUAUAGAUGUCAAACCCUGUUAACUGUCAGUUCUCAUUAUCCAAAGAAUCUGUAUUUGUCAAUUUGCCUACUUGCAAACGUUUAUUUGUACCCCCUCCCCCAAAUCAAUACAGUAUUUUCACAGUCAUUCACAGAUGGGGAGGCAAAAAUUUGAGCCUCCUGUCGAGUCCUUUUCCAGAUGAGGUUGUACAAAGUGACCUUCUGCCUUGUUUCAGCUCUCCUACUGUGAACAAGUGUCUUUGUUGUGAUCUAUUCAGUUUGCAUCAGUGUUGUUUGCAUCAGUGUGCUUUUUGUUGGUGAUCUUACUGUUUAAAAUGGCCCCAAGCAUAGUAGUGCUGAAGUGCCGUCCGGUGUUCCUAAGCAGAGAAGGCUGUGCUGUGCCUUACAGAGAAAAUACAUGUGUUAGAUUGGCUUCCCCGAGGCAUGAGUUCCUGGGUUGUUGGCCUCGUUCAAUGUUAAUGAAUCAGUAUAAAUUAAAUAAGGUGUCUUUAAAAAGAAACAUAUAUCACCAAGACUGUAUAUUGACAGGUUGACAUAAACACGGUCAGAGGCUCACAGGAACCUCUCCUAGGAGCAUUGGGUUAGUAUUCUCCAAACCAGUAUUUGCAGCCCCAACUUUAUAGGACAUACUCUCUCAAAUAACAAGAAUCAGCUCUUCCUUGACUUUGGUGUGUGUAAUUUGUUUUUCUGCUGAGGACUUCUUUGACAGAUUUCUAUAAUUCUCUGAUUUUUGUCUGCGUUAGGGUGAUUUUUAUUCCCACCGUUGUUCUUAAGAUUGCACGUCUGGUUGUCUUCUGCCGUCCUGCCUCCUCUCAUCCACACUUACUUUCGUUAUCUAGAGUACCGUCCACUAGAGAGCUAGCUCUCUGUCUACACAAGCCAGGGCCCUUCUCUUAAGACGUACCUUGGCAGAAGCGUUUGGUGACGUGGCCAGAAAGAGCCAGACCGGAAGAGAAGAGCCUGGACACGGUGCUCCAUGUAAAUCCUAGCCAUAGAAGCAGGCGGAUUCUGUGGGGUUUAAUUAAGGCCCUGGAAAGGGGUAAUUAGAUAAGUAGUGUAGCAACCCCCCACCCCCAUCCCCUGCAAGGCUCCCAGGGUAUUGCGACGCUUUUCGUAGCAUCCUCCAAGUCAAAUACAUUUUAAUGACCUUUAAAACAAGAGCAAAACUUUGGUCACAAGGCAAAAUCACAAGGAAUUUUAAAGGCGUUGAUUUUAUAGUUAAUAGUUAUAAACAAUGCUUUGGAAGCUUAUUCCUCUUCCCUAUACUUCUUGCCAGAUCUAAAUACGGCAUCUAAAUAUGGCAUAAAAUAUUUAAUGUGAUUCAGUCAAAUAUUGAGGAAAUUUCUGUUUGGUCUUUACUCUCAUCCCUCCUCAUCAUAAUGAAAUGGUUGGGUUAAAUCUCUAUUCUGGUCAAAUGUGAUGGCAUUACAAAGACUGCCCUCACCUACGGCACUGUUCGUACUCUGCUUUCUUUCUUCAAACUCGUAUGUGUAUUGAUAAACUAGAAACAUUCUUCUUUAAAAAAAAAUUCAAACAUACAUAAAAGUACACAGAAGAUACCAUAACAAACUUGAGGCACUUACCACUUAGAUUAGACUGAUACUGUAUUUUUGCUGUAUUUCAGGUCUUUUAAAGACAUAAAAUGUUAGACCUAGUUGAAGUCCUUUUUUUUAUCUCACCUGUUCUUCCAGGAGGUUACCAUCACGUCAAAGUCAGUGCGCAUUAUUUAUCUUAUUUAUAUGUAUGUCCCACACCAUAUACAUUGGGUUACAAUUUAUAAUACUGCUUUGUGGAUUGUUUUUUUUUUUAAGUGUCCUUCACCCCCAGCGCAGAGGCCAACAUGGGACUUGAACUCAUGAUCCUAAGACUCCGGCACUUAACCAACUGAGCCACCCAGGCACCCCACUGCUUUGUGGAUUUUGAAUGAGCUAAAUGGAUUCGUGGUAUGGAGGCUUCAGCAAUGUGCUUUUUUUUUUUUUUCAUUCAACACUAUCAUUUUGAGAUCUGUUUUGUAGAUCUAGUUCGUUCAUUGAUCUCCACUGUCCUAAAGGGUUCUGUGUGUGACUGCAUCACACUUUGGCCACGUCUUAAUGGGCACGUCCAAGUUUACAGUGUUUCAAGCAAUGCUGCCAUUCACUUCCUGGGGAUGACUCCUGGAGCAUGUGUGUAUUUCACUAGACACCGAAUUGCUGGCUCAUCAGGCAUUUUCAUUUUCGCUUUUACUAGUUAUUGACAAAUUUCUCUCAAAGUCAUCAUGCCAACUUACACACCCAAUGGCAAGUUUUGAGAGUUCCUGUUUUCAGACACCUCCCAAUACAUGGGCUUAUGUUAAAAAGAAAAAAAAAAAAAA